UGACUGUCAAAAUGGAGUCUGUCAGAGAAGGUGCAGUGUACUAGUGAAGGUUCGUGUCCUUUGUGUGCAUGGUUAAAGGUGUGUGUGAAAGUGUAAGUCGUAGGUGACGACGGGAGAUGAAUUGCUGUGUUGAUGGGUGUACUGGGCUGCCCAACGUUCAGACUGAUCAUGGAUGUACUGUCACCACCCGACAGCGGCGAGGUGUGGUUCGAAGCUGCCUGGAACACCAGCCGAUCGCGAUCAAUUGUGCUUCGAGACAGCCUGGUCCCGACGUGAAAGGAUCGACUUCUGCAUCUGACACAUGGCCCAACCUCGGGCAAGUGAAGUCAACGCCCGUGUUGAGUGUACUGGUAGGAUGUCAGAGCGGAGCCUCUAACACUAACUACAAGCGGACUCGUAUGCCUAACAAAGCUGCCAGUUGUGAUUAAUUACUGUUAAAUAAAUAAAUUUCAGUCAACAA